rnacentral:tRNA from 1 species
GCGGGCGUAGUUCAGGGGCUAGAACGCCUGCUUGCCAAGCAGGAGGUCGACGGUUCGAAUCCGUUCGCCCGCUCCA